UGCAAGUCGAGCGGUAGCACAGAAGAGCUUGCUCUUUGGGUGACGAGCGGCGGACGGGUGAGUAAUGUCUGGGAAACUGCCUGAUGGAGGGGGAUAACUACUGGAAACGGUAGCUAAUACCGCAUAACCUCGCAAGAGCAAAGAGGGGGACCUUCGGGCCUCUCGCCAUCAGAUGUGCCCAGAUGGGAUUAGCUAGUAGGUGAGGUAAUGGCUCACCUAGGCGACGAUCCCUAGCU
rnacentral:rRNA from 1 species